rnacentral:rRNA from 3 species
UGGGGAAUAUUGGGCAAUGGGCGCAAGCCUGACCCAGCAACGCCGCGUGAAGGAAGAAGGCUUUCGGGUUGUAAACUUCUUUUGUCAGGGACGAAACAAAUGACGGUACCUGACGAAUAAGCCACGGCUAACUACGUGCCAGCAGCCGCGGUAAUACGUAGGUGGCAAGCGUUAUCCGGAUUUACUGGGUGUAAAGGGCGUGUAGGCGGGACUGCAAGUCAGAUGUGAAAAUUAUGGGCUCAACCCAUAACCUGCAUUUGAAACUGUGGUUCUUGAGUGAUGGAGAGGCAGGCGGAAUUCCGUGUGUAGCGGUGAAAUGCGUAGAUAUACGGAGGAACACCAGUGGCGAAGGCGGCCUGCUGGACAUUAACUGACGCUGAGGCGCGAAAGCGUGGGGAGCAAACAGG